rnacentral:rRNA from 1 species
UACGUAGGUGGCAAGCGUUUAUCCGGAAUUACUGGGCGUAAAGCGCACGCAGGCGGUCUUUUAAGUUUGACGUGAAAGCUCUCGGCUUAACUGGGAGAGGUCGUUGAAGACUGGAAGGCUUGAGGCAAUGAGAGGGGUGUAGAAUUCCCGGUGUAGUGGUGGAAUGCGUAGAUGUCGGGGGGAAUACCAGUGGCGAAAGCGGCACCCUAGCGUUAGCCUGACGCUCAUGUGCGAAAGCGUGGGGAGCGAACGGG